UACGAUAAAUAUAAUUUGCAAACUUUUAUAUAUAGUAACUUUAAAAAAUAAAUUGUCUCCGCGGUAUACCGUGGGUUAAAAUUUAGUAGUGUUGUAUAAACCACGAGGCUGUGUGC
rnacentral:sRNA from 1 species